AAUCUAUCAAAUAAGAAAGAGAAUAGAGUAUAUUAAAAAAAACUCUGAGUCUGGUAGGAAAUGUGUUUCUCUUCUCCUGAACUCAACCUACAACAAGGCAGCAGCAUGCAUCUAGUCAUGUGUUUCUAUGUAUUAAUACUAUAGACUUUAAUAUUACGUACGUUAUUAAUGAACGAACAACAAUUCUUAAAACCCACCCUGUAAAAUUAUAUUAUUGGAACAACACUGUAAUACGGGACUUAUAUCUUCUGCUGUUUGUUUGGCGGACAGGUACAAAGACAAACUGCUUCACCCCUGUCGUGUCUCCAUCCACUGUCUCUCCUACAGGUGAUGACGGCUUCCCAGUUGUCACUGUAGCCUCAUCGUGUGUGGCUGUGUGUGUAGGAGUGUGUAUCACUAUAGUAAUAAUAAUGAUCUACAAGAGGAGACCAGAUAAUCACCUUUCAUCCAGUCAAGUUAAAGUGUUGGAUACAGGCAGUUUAACAUACGCUGUGGUCGACCUCAAAAAGUCCGCCGAAACAGAGCCUCACAGAAAGACAGAUAACAUCAGCGUUGAAUACGCAACCAUCAAAACCACACAAUGAACAGUGCAACAUAUCUAAAGUGUCAUCAUCUUCUGCUCACGUCACACGUCACACAUCUUAAACACCAAGUACACACAGGUUUGUUAUCAGUUUGUCGCAUGUGUUACAUCAAGUUACCAGACACACUGCUUGCUGAGAGGUAAUCCUAGUGUUGACUGUUACAUUUACAUUUAUUCAUUUAGG